rnacentral:miRNA from 1 species
CAAUGGGAUGAUGAUGAUGAUGAUAAUGAGGAGAUUAUGUGUGUAAGUCCCCACUCGACGACAUCAUCAUCAUCAUCAUCAUCAUCAUCGGCGUCG